rnacentral:rRNA from 1 species
UACGGAGGGUGCAAACGUUGCUCGGAAUUACUGGGCGUAAAGCGCACGUAGGCGGCCUUUCAAGUCGGAUGUGAAAGCCCCGAGCUUAACUCGGGAACUGCAUUUGAUACUGUUGGGCUAGAGACCGGGAGAGGAUAGCGGAAUUCCCAGUGUAGAGGUGAAAUUCGUAGAUAUUGGGAAGAACACCAGUGGCGAAGGCGGCUAUCUGGACCGGUACUGACGCUGAGGUGCGAAAGCGUGGGGAGCAAACAGG